rnacentral:rRNA from 1 species
UCUGGUUGAUCCUGCCAGUAGUCAUAUGCUUGUCUCAAAGACUAAGCCAUGCAUGUCUAAGUAUAAGCGGAUACUAGUGAGACUGCGAAAGGCUCAUUAAAACAGUAAUAGUUUAUUUGAUGGUGUGUUAUAUGGAUAACCGUAGUAAUUCUAGAGCUAAUACAUGCCGGCCUUCGGGCAAGUGUUUAUUAGAUAUCGCCUCGACCUUCGGGUUACGGUGAGUCACAAUAAAUGAAAGAUCUCAGCGUGAGCUGAGACAGUUCAUUCAAGUUUCUGCCCUAUCAGCUUUCGAUGGUAGUGUAUUGGACUACCAUGGCAGUGACGGGUAACGGAGAAUUAGGGUUCGAUUCCGGAGAGGGAGCCUGAGAAACGGCUACCACAUCUAAGGAAGGCGGCAGGCGCGCAAAUUACCCAAUCCUGAUUCAGGGAGGUAGUGACAAGAAAUAACAAAGCGGGGCCUCGGUCCGGCUAUUGGAAUGAGCACAAUGUAAAAGCGUUAGCGAGGAUCCACUGGAGGGCAAGUCUGGUGCCAGCAGCCGCGGUAAUUCCAGCUCCAGUAGCGUAUAUUAAAGUUGUUGCAGUUAAAAAGCUCGUAGUUGGAAGUCUGAUGGAGUCUUGACUUCGGUUAAACUCUGUCAUCUGCCUGAACAGCACUAUUCUUUAUUUACUUAUUGAUAGUGUGAGCAGGCCUUUUACCUUGAGGAAACUAGAGUGUUUAAAGCAGGCAUUUGCUCGUAUACCGCAGCUGGGAAUAAUGCAAUAUGACUGAAGUCUCUUGCUUGGCGGAUAGACUUUGGUAAUGAUUAAUAGGAACAGUUGGGGGCAUUCGUACUCAGCAGUCAGAGGUGAAAUUCUUGGAUUUGUUGAAGACGGACUAGUGCGAAAGCAUUUGCCAAGGAUGUUUUCAUUAAUCAAGAACGAAAGUUAAGGGAUCAAAGACGAUCAGAUACCGUCCUAGUCUUAACCAUAAACUAUGCCGACUAGGGAUUGGAGGGGUAACUCAAACACCCCUUCAGCACCUCACGAGAAAUCCAAGUCUUUGGGUUCUGGGGGGAGUAUGGUCGCAAGACUGAAACUUAAAGGAAUUGACGGAAGGGCACCACAAGGAGUGGAGCCUGCGGCUUAAUUUGACCCAACACGGGGAAACUUACCAGGUCCAGACAUAGUAAGGAUUGACAGAUUGAGAGCUCUUUCUUGAUUCUAUGGGUGGUGGUGCAUGGCCGUUCCUAGUUGGUGGAGUGAUCUGUCUGGUUAAUUCCGAUAACGAACGAGACCUCAACUUACUAACUAGUGGUGUUUUCACUUGAAGACAACUGCUUCUUAGAAGGACAGAGGGCUUUUAGUCCUAGGAAGUGUGAGGCAAUAACAGGUCUGUGAUGCCCUUAGAUGUCCUGGGCCGCACGCGCGCUACACUGUCGCAUUCAAUAAGUUCCUAACUCGUUGGAGUAAGGUAACCUAUAACCUGCGACGUGUUUGGGAUUGACCCUUGCAAUUCUUGGUCAUGAACCAGGAAUUCCUAGUAAGCGCAAGUCAUCAGCUUGCACUGAUUAAGUCCCUGCCCUUUGUACACACCGCCCGUCGCUCCUACCGAUUUCGAGUGUCAAGGUAAACCUCUCGAACCAAGCUUAGCUUGGGAAGUUAUGUAAACCUUUACACUUAGAGGAAGGAGAAGUCGUAACAAGGUA